rnacentral:lncRNA from 1 species
CUUUUUUCCUGUCUCUUUUCGCGACCUACGGCGUCGGUCUUUGGUGGUCGAGUGGGCGCACGGUCCGUCCGCUGUGUCGAUCUCUGUGCCUCUUUCUCUCUCUCUCUCUCUCUCUUUUUUCGACACUCUUUUUUUUGUCGUCGAGCAAGAGACAGCACGCCGGCGCCUUUUUUGCCCCUAGGGAACCCCGAUUUUUUCGACGCACGGGGCGCACACGUGGUUCACGGCCAGGCGCAGUGGGCCUCGUCGCUGCUCGGCCCAUCGCGCGCGCGCGGACCUACUGGCGACCCAGAGGGCGACUGCACACGCUCCGGCGCCCGAGACCAACCGCGAGAAAAAAAACAAAAAGAACACGCGGCUGCCUUUUUUGUGCGGUGGGCGACAAUGCGCAACGAAAAAAAAAGGGGACGGAUGGCGUGCAGAGACGACACGCCAAGAAAAAGAGAUUGCCCGACAAAAAUGAGGAAAAAAGAGAAAGAGAAAAACGGCCAACCUCAUGCGAUUUUUAGGGAAAAAAAAGAGAAAAAAUCGACCAAUGGCGUGCUCGAUUGGC